AACCGGAAUAACGCCUGGAAACGGGUGCUAAGCCCGGAUAGGCGCAUGAGGCGCAUGCCUGAUGCGGGAAAGGAUGCUAUGGCAUCGCUGAGAGAGGACCCCGCGGCGCAUUAGCUAGUUGGUAGGGUAAAGGCCUACCAAGGCGACGAUGCGUAGCCGACCUGAGAGGGUGACCGGCCACACUGGGACUGAGACACGGCCCAGACUCUACGGGAGGCAGCAGUAGGGAAUCUUCCGCAAUGGGCGCAAGCCUGACGGAGCAACGCCGCGUGAGCGAGGAAGGCUUCGGGUUGUAAAGCUCAGUCAAGGGGGAAGAGCGGCAAGGAGAGGGAAUGCUCUUUGCGAGACGGUACCCCAAGAGGAAGCCCCGGCAAACUACGUGCCAGCAGCCGCGGUAAUACGUAGGGGGCAAGCGUUGUCCGGAAUCACUGGGCGUAAAGGGUGCGUAGGCGGUUCUACCAGUCUGGGGUGAAAGGCCAGGGCUCAACCUUGGGAAUGCCUUGGAAACUGUAGGACUUGAGUGCUGGAGAGGCAAGGGGAAUUCCACGUGUAGCGGUGAAAUGCGUAGAGAUGUGGAGGAAUACCAGUGGCGAAGGCGCCUUGCUGGACAGUGACUGACGCUGAGGCACGAAAGCGUGGGGAGCAAACAGGAUUAGAUACCCUGGUAGUCCACGCCGUAAACGAUGAGUGCUAGGUGUUGGGGGUACCACCCUCAGUGCCGAAGGAAACCCAAUAAGCCUCCCCCCAGGGCUUGACAUCCCUCUGAGGUAUCAGAGAUGAUACGUCUUCGGGNCAGAGGAGACAGGUGGUGCAUGGUUGUCGUCAGCUCGUGUCGUGAGAUGUUGGGUUAAGUCCCGCAACGAGCGCAACCCUUGACCUGUGUUACCAGCACGUAGAGGUGGGGACUCACAGGUGACUGCCGGCGCAAGUCGGAGGAAGGCGGGGAUGACGUCAAAUCAUCAUGCCCCUGAUGUCCUGGGCGACACACGUGCUACAAUGGGCGGCACAACGGGAAGCGAGAGAGCGAUCUGGAGCGAACCCCUGAAAACCGCUCGUAGUUCGGAUUGCAGGCUGCAACUCGCCUGCAUGAAGCCGGAAUUGCUAGUAAUCGCGGAUCAGCAUGCCGCGGUGAAUCCGUUCCCGGGCCUUGUACACACCGCCCGUCACACCNCGAGAGUUGGCAACACCCGAAGUCGGUGGGGUAACCCGAGAGGGGGCCAGCCGCCGAAGGUGGGGUCGAUGAUUGGGGUGAAGUCGUAACAAGGUAGCC
rnacentral:rRNA from 1 species